GGGGUGCGGUACCGGUUCGGUCCGGGCCCCGCAAAGCAGCGGCACGGGGGUCGCCAUGGCGUUCUCCAGGUGCUACAGAGUGGCCAUCAUCUCCUGCCUGGUGCUCUGCGUGUCCCUUCUCCUGCCGCGGACAUUCUUGUCUCGGGGCGGCGGGAGGCAGGAGCCUGCGCCGCCCGAGGGGAAGCUUGGUCGCUUUCCACCGAGAAUGAAUUACCAGGCCAUUCCUGACAGCCAAGGUGCCCCUCAUUUCCCAAGGUCUCACCUUGCUGAAGCAGCUGCCAAAGCCAAGGCAGGUGGAGGUGGUGGAAGUGCUGGUGGAACUGGUAGAAGUCUUGUGGGGCAGAUCAUCCCCAUAUAUGGAUUUGGCAUCUUCUUAUAUAUCCUGUACAUUUUAUUUAAGCUGACUUCAAAGGGAAAAACUACUGCUGGAGAGAGGAAAAACCCUACUGCUGCUCCUGGGAACAUGAAGAGGAAAAUCACUGACUAUGAGCUCACCCAACUCCAGGAAAAACUGAGAGAGACAGAAGAAGCUAUGGAAAAAUUAAUCGACAGAGUAGGGCUGAGCUGUGACAGCAGAACUCAAAAUGUUACAACAGACCAGGAGCAAAGGUUGCUUCAUCAACUCCGAGAAAUUACUAGAGUUAUGAAAGAAGGAAAAUUUGUAGAUGACAUCUCUCCUGAGAAGGAAGCUGAAGAAGCUCCUUACAUGGAGGAUUGGGACGGUUACUCAGAAGAGACCUAUCCUGUCUAUAAUUCUGAUUGCUUCAAACGCAAGUGGGACACAAUCCUUGUAGAUUACCCUGACCUGAGCCAGCCCUCUCCAGAGGAGCUGGCAGAAAGACUGGAGGGCUUGGAAGAUGAAGAGCAGCUGUGUGAGGAAACCCUGUUAGCUGAUCUCACUAUAGGUCAUGAUUUAAUGCAGAAAAAUAAUGAGGUAACCGGCAGCAGUGAAGAUGAGAGGGAUCUUCAGCACAGCCACCACCUUGAGGAGUGCUGCUGUUAUUAUGAGGAUGAGGAUCCUGCAGUGAUAGCAGAAAAUGCUGGAUUCUGCUGUGAGAGCUGCAGUGAAGCAGAAGCAGAAGCAGAAGAGUCCACCCAAGAGGACCUGUGUGUGGAGUCAGAAAAUGAAAAUGCAGCAGUGGAAGAGCAGAAAGGUGAUGAUUUGGAUGAAACAGUCACACUGAGGAAGCGCAACACAAAAGGACUUGAGUACUAGAGACACUGAUGGAUGUUAUUUAGGUAGUGAAUGUAGAGGUCAUAAACUGUCAUUUAUGUGGUUUUGUUCCUGAUGAAGACUUCUCUGUGUUCGUGUCCUUGUAGCAAGUUCAUUCCAUGGUAACAGUCACAUCACCUGCUUGCACUGGGAGCCAAUGCACGUGUUCCUUGUGGCUUGUCCUGGCAUUGCCCACAGAGCUCUCUCCUUGCUUCUCAGACUGGUAUCUUGGAGCAGAUUAUUCAGUUCAGUUAUCUGGGAUUCUUCCCAAUUCUGAAGAAAAGCUCCUUGUUUUUGCCCUUUGUAAUCCCAGAGUUACUCAAAUGUCUCUUCUGACUCUCUCAAGAACAUGUGUUUGUGUGCUACCAGUUAUGAGAAAUACUCAAAUCCAUAGAUAUGUAUUUGAGAUUACCAGGAAGCUGGAGGAGAAAGUGUGCCAUCUUUCUCUUACCUGAAUGUUAACUGAUAACAGAACAGGCCAUAGUCACACAUGACUCUUUUUCAAGUGUAUAAUUGCUGUGGUACACCCAAGAAACUUAUUUGUCACUACAAUCGACAAAAUUCAUAUAGUACCCCAAGCUACAGCCCAUUUCCCAGCUUUUUCCAUGCUGUGGCACCAGUUGCCUGAUCUGUGCUGUGUUCCAGGAAGGGCAUGAGCAAGACUGAAAUGUUCAGAGUUGUUCUUUCUUUAUCAUUAGCCAUGGUGAAACAUCUUGGUGAAACUGCCAAGGGAGUGCAGGAAUCAGACCAUACUUUGUGUAAGAGAACACCAAAAAACAUUCCUGGUGACUGAAAAAAGAAUAACUGCCUCUCACUCCUCUGUCCCAACCCCAGCCCAGGAAAGACCCUGAUGCUUGGAGUGUGGACCCACACGUGGACAGCACGAGGGCAGGCUGAGGGAACUGUUCUGGUCAUGAGGCUGCUGAGACACUGGAGCAGGUUUCCCAGAGAAGUUUUGGCUGCUGUAUCCCUGGAAUGUUCACGGUCAGAUUGGCUGGAGCUUUGGGUAACCUGGUCUAGUGAAAGUUACUUGUCAGCCUCACAUCUGUGACUGGAAAAAUCCUGGAACAGAUGCUCUGAGAAGCUAGGAGCAAGCCCAGUAUAUUGAUACUUGGCUCCAGGACUGGUAAAAUCAGGAUUGUCAAAAUUAUGAAAGCUGGGACUCUGGAAAAAAAUUGUAAAAGUUGGACACCCAGUGGAAGCAGUCAAUGUUAUUAGAAGUACAAGUUUACAAGCUCUAUGACGUGCAAGGUAAAAUAAUGUGAAAAUAUAAAAAUCAUUCAUUUCACAUACUGGUAAAUAAAUAGAUAU